rnacentral:rRNA from 1 species
GAUGAACGCUAGCGGCAGGCCUAACACAUGCAAGUCGAGGGAGAAGCCCUUUCGGGGGCCGAAACCGGCGCACGGGUGCGUAACGCGUAUGCAACCUACCUUUCACAGGGGGAUAGCCCGAAGAAAUUUGGAUUAAUACCCCAUAAUAUUAUUGGAUGGCAUCAUUUGAUAAUUAAAACUGCGGUGGUGAAAGAUGGGCAUGCGUCCUAUUAGCUAGUUGGAGUGGUAACGGCACCCCAAGGCUACGAUAGGUAGGGGUCCUGAGAGGGAGAUCCCCCACACUGGUACUGAGGCAGGGACCAGACUCCUACGGGGGGCAGCAGUGAGGAAGAUUGGGCAAGGGUCGGAAGACUGAACCAGCCAUGCCGCGUGCAGGAAGAAUGCCUUAUGGGUUGUAAACUGCUUUUAAAGGGGAAGAAUAAGGCGUACGUGUACGUUGAUGACGGUACCAGAUGAAUAAGCAUCGGCUAACUCCGUG